ensembl:misc_RNA Y_RNA Y RNA
GGCUGGUGUGUGUGCAGUGCUGUUUGCCACUAAUUGAUCACAAUCAGUUACAGGUUUCUUUGUUCCGUCUCCACUUGACUAGCCUUAA